rnacentral:tRNA from 1 species
AGUUUUAUAUUCAAUAGAUGAUUUUAAAUUGCAAAUUUAAAGUAGUAAUAAUUUACUAAAGCUU